rnacentral:lncRNA from 1 species
AAGAAUUGUCCUACUGCGUGGCUGUUAGACCAAGGUCUGACGUGGAUAAAGCUACUGGGUUUUUGAAUGUGAAUGAUAGUUCUUUAUCCUCUGGUUCGUUUGAAUGAGGAGUUUUGUAUUGUAAAGAAAUAGAACUCUAUCACUUAAUAGCUGAAAUCCUGUUUUGUAGGAACAGCUUUCUGUUUUUCAAACCUGUACUUAUCAAUACAAUCAAUAUAAAUACACAGCUGCAGCCAUAUUGGUCUGUAAGCUUUUCAUGCUAUUUCAAAGUCUUUCAUGGUAUUAGAGCCUCUAGUCUAA